UACAGAGACUGCGAGCGUUAUUCGGAUUCACUGGGCGUAAAGGGCUCGUAGGCGGCCAACUAAGUCGGAUGUGAAAUCCCCAGGCUUAACCUGGGAACUGCAUCCGAUACUGGAUGGCUUGAAUCCGGGAGAGGGAUGCGGAAUUCCAGGUGUAGCGGUGAAAUGCGUAGAUAUCUGGAGGAACACCGGUGGCGAAGGCGGCAUCCUGGACCGGCAUUGACGCUGAGGAGCGAAAGCCAGGGGAGCAAACGGG
rnacentral:rRNA from 1 species